rnacentral:rRNA from 1 species
AGCGAACGCUGGCGGCGUACUUAACACAUGCAAGUCGAACGGGGAGUCGUCGGUGUAGCAAUACAUCGGCGGUUCUAGUGGCGCACGGGUGAGUAACACGUGGGUAACCUGCCCUUGAGUUCGGGAUACCCUUUCGAAAGGAAGGCUAAUACCGGAUACGUUCCUCGGAUUGCGAAGUCUGGGGAGGAAAGGUGGCGCAAGCUGCCGCUCUUGGAGGGGCGUCGCGGCCUAUCAGCUAGNGGUGAGGUAACGGCUCACCAAGGCUAUGACGGGUAG